UAGGGAAUCUUCCACAAUGGACGCAAGUCUGAUGGAGCAACGCCGCGUGAGUGAAGAAGGUCUUCGGAUCGUAAAGCUCUGUUGUUGGUGAAGAAGGAUAGAGGCAGUAACUGGUCUUUAUUUGACGGUAAUCAACCAGAAAGUCACGGCUAACUACGUGCCAGCAGCCGCGGUAAUACGUAGGUGGCAAGCGUUGUCCGGAUUUAUUGGGCGUAAAGCGAGCGCAGGCGGAAUGAUAAGUCUGAUGUGAAAGCCCACGGCUCAACCGUGGAACUGCAUCGGAAACUGUCAUUCUUGAGUGCAGAAGAGGAGAGUGGAACUCCAUGUGUAGCGGUGGAAUGCGUAGAUAUAUGGAAGAACACCAGUGGCGAAGGCGGCUCUCUGGUCUGCAACUGACGCUGAGGCUCGAAAGCAUGGGUAGCGAACAGGAUUAGAUACCCUGGUAGUCCAUGCCG
rnacentral:rRNA from 1 species